GGGGGCGGGGUUUAUUAACAGACGCUGAGCUCAAGCGAGGCCAAUGCACGAUGACGUACUGGAGAUUUUGCUCUUGAAUAACGAGGUAAACAAUAAAGUAAGCUUGCUCGGAAUUCUACAAACUGCAGAAAAACAUCCUGCUCAAAGUUAGACAUCUCAUAAUCCAUCACCGAAUAGUUUGACGCACUGAAACUGGUAAAACGCAGCUUAGUCCAUUUGUUAUUCGGGGGUCGCCACAGCGGAAUGAACCGCCAACAUAUCCAGCAUAUGUUUUAUGCAGCGGAUGCCCUUCGAGAUGCAACCUAUCACUGGGAAACACGUAUACACACUCAUUCACACACAUACACUACGGACAAUUUAGCUUGUCCAAUUCACCUGUACCGCAUGUCUUUGGACUUGUAGGGGAAACCGGAGCACCCGGAGGAAACCCACCCCAACACGGGGAGAACAUGCAAACUCCACACAGAAACGCCAACUGACCCAGCUGAGGCUCAAACCAGCGACCUUCUUGCUGUUAGGCGAUUGUGCUACCCACUGUGCCACCGUGAUGCCCCUGAUAUGAUGCAGAAAAUCCAGACUGCAGAAAUAACCAACACAGAUUCAGCAGCAGUAGAAAUCAACAGUAGCGGAGAUCCAGCGUCUGAAGGACCUGAAGGAGACCAUU
ensembl:processed_transcript